rnacentral:tRNA from 1 species
UUAAUUGAAACCAAAAUAGAGGUAUAUUACUGUUAAUGAUAUUAUUGAAGAGAAUUCCAAUUAAA